rnacentral:misc_RNA from 1 species
ACUUCCUCACACUAUUGGUCAAUGUACUUCGCUCAAAGAGCUUCGUGUGGACUACAAUCAUCUUAAAGCACUUCCUGAAGCAGUGGGACGACUUGAGUCGUUGGAGAUUCUGACUGCGCGGUACAAUAACAUCAGACUGUUGCCUACAACUAUGUCAUCCCUUACAAGUUUGAAAGAGCUGAAUGUUAGUUUCAAUGAAAUCGAAUCAGUGCCUGAGAGCUUGUGUUUUGCUACUUCACUGGUAAAGCUGAACAUAAGCAACAAUUUUGCAGACCUGAGAUCACUACCAAGGUCCAUUGGUAACCUUGAGUUGCUCGAAGAAUUGGACAUGAGUAACAACCAGAUACGCGUUCUUCCAGAUUCUUUUAGGAUGCUCUCAAGUUUGCGGGUCCUUAAAACUGAUGGAAAUCCUUUGGAAGUUCCACCAGGAAGCGUCCUUGAGAAGGGAGCACAGGUUGUUGUACAAUAUAUGUCUGAUCUGGUUGCUAAUAGAGAUGUAAAGACGCAACCCG